rnacentral:tRNA from 1 species
GUCCCGCGUAGGCAGGCUCCAUCCGGCACCCCCAGUGCCCGGAGCACGUGGUUCGAAUCCACGGCGGGACUCCA